GAUUGGUUAGAAUGGGGCAGCAGUAGGAGAACAUUUUACUAAAGUAAACGCAGAAUACAAAUGCUCUGUUGAACUAGUUGAACUACUUCAGUAAGAGUUAUCAAAACAAGUAGCUGCAAACUUAAACAUAUGUCAACUAAAUUAGACCCUGAGCCUUCAGUUAUCAAGCUCCUCUUUUGUGGAACCGGCUUCACUUUGAGUCCAGGGAGCAGAUACAGUCAGCUCAUUUAAGAUAAAGCUUGAGACUUUCCUCUUUGGUAUCACUUAUAUUGAAAGCUGCCUCAGGUUAGCCUGGACCAGCCCUUAGGUAAGCUGCUAAAGGCCUAAACUGCCGGUUCUAUCUGGAUCCUGGUCCUGGAUCCGGACAUGGCCCUGCUGACACCUGCUGCUGCUAUCAUUAUUAUUAGUCACAUUACUAUUACGGUCAUCAUAAACCACCGUUACUUACUUUGUUUCUUUCCUGAACUCUUUGUGUGCUUUCGGUUAUAUCUGAUGGCAGUUACAUCUAAUCUUUAUUAGGUUAUAUUUGAUGGCGGUUAUAUUUGAUGAUGGUUAUAUCUGAUAAUGGUUAUAAUCUGAUGGUGGUUACAUUUGAUGAUGGUGACAUCUGAUGGUGGUUACAUCUGAUAAUGGUUAUAUCUGAUGGUGGUUACAUUUGAUGAUGGUUACAUCUGAUGAUGGUUAUAUCUGAUGGUGGUUACAUCUGAUGGUGGUUGCAUCUGAUGGUGGUUAUAUUUGAUGGUGGUUGUAAUUCAUGGUGGUUGUAUCUGAUGGUUGUUGUUCCGGCAGUCGUCCUUCCUUAUAACUGGUUUACUACUCUGAAUAUUUUAAUCAUUUCUCAUUGUAUGAAAUGAAAGUACUGUACAUAUUUUACAUUGUUCAUUCUUUACACAUGACACCCUUUGCAUACUCUCCAUCCCAGGAAAAGGAUCUUCUCCCGUUGGGUUUCCGGACAAGGGAUGUUACAUGCGUAUAGACUGUAAAGCUGAGGCAAAUUUGUCAUUUGUGAUUUUGGGCGAUAUGAAAUAAAAUAAAUUAAAG
ensembl:lncRNA